CUCAUUCUAGGUAAAGAAGUAACUUCUUUAUAUGUAUGUUCUGUAAAAGAUCCUCAAAGUAACCACUAACCAGAGGAAACAAGCCUGGGAUGGACACCCUUGUUACCUGCUAUUGGCAAGAAUAAAGCUACAAAAAAGUAACAGAAUGAAAAAGAAGAGCAAGAACUGUGGCUCUAGAUAAAGAAUUCAACAAGUCAGACUCUGAAACAGGCACUCCGAUGAAAUGGCCUAAACCUAGCCCCAGGUUACCAUUGCCCCCACCCCCACCCUGUUAUUCCCAAAAUAGUAAAAAGGAAACGGUCACAA